CUACUAUAUAAAAAGGCAUACUAUUAUUCAUAGACCGCGACAACUUCAUUAAUUAGCAAGGGCGAAAUCACUGCAUACUUGAAUUUUCCGAACGGCUCUGUGGCGGCGUCUACUGAGAAACCAGAGCUGGAAAAAACCUUUGACCUCUGGUGCCCUGUGGCUGGGGUAUACGAGUUUUGUGUGGACAACACAGCUGACCACAUUUCACAGAAGUUGGUAAAUGUUCAGAUUCUUGUACUGCACCAUCACGAAGGAGCCGACUUCCACCUGCAACAAAAAAAUGAAACAGACAACACAAUGUACCAUAUCUACGAUCGUUUAUUCCAAGUGACUACUGACUUAAUGCGUUCGAAAUCCAUGAUAAAACACACUCAGAUGGUAUCUGGACGUGACUAUUCUCUUCUACGAAAUAACGAAGCGUCUUUGAACAUCUUAUCCACAGUCAUAGUCGGCGUGAUGUUUGGUGUUAGCUUAAGUCAGGUCUUUGUUAUCAAGAGAAUGUUCUCAAAAAACGAAAGAAGUUCCAGCGGAAGGCCAACUACAAGACUUUAAAUAAGUUCCGCCAUGGCCUACUCAAUAUGUAUUGAGUAGGCCAUGGUUCCGCUAAUAAUUGAAUUUUUCUGACACAUUGAACGGCGUGUUUUUAAAUCGUUGGACGGAAAACGAGAAUAAAAUGACUCUGUUGCAA